AUACGGAGGAUGAGAGCGUUAUCCGGAUUUAUUGGGUUUAAAGGGUGCGCAGGCGGCCAUUUAAGUCAGCGGUUAAAUCGUGGGGCUCAACCCCAUUCUGCCGUUGAUACUGGGUGGCUUGAUUGCGGUCGAGGUUGGCGGAAUUCGUUGUGUAGCGGUGAAAUGCAUAGAUAUGACGAAGAACACCGAUUGCGUAGGCAGCUGACCAGACCGCAAAUGACGCUCAUGCACGAAAGUGCGGGGAUCGAACAGGAUUAGAUACCCUGGUAGUCCGCACAGUAAACGAUGAAUACUUGUUUUCGGCGAUAUAAUGUCUGAGGCAAAGCGAAAGCGAUAAGUAUUCCACCUGGGGAGUACGCCGGCAACGGUGAAACUCAAAUGAAGUGACGGGG
rnacentral:rRNA from 1 species